UUCAAGGGGUGCCUGCGGGUGCAGGCUGAGAUGAUACCCUCUAACCUGAUCCAGAUUAUACUGGCGUAGGGAUGGAAUAAA
rnacentral:ncRNA from 1 species